UCCACGCCGUAAACGAUGAUCACUCGCUGUUUGCGAUAUACAGCAAGCGGCUGAGCGAAAGCAUUAAGUGAUCCACCUGGGGAGUACGAUCGCAAGGUUGAAACUCAAAGGAAUUGACGGGGGCCCGCACAAGCGGAGGAACAUGUGGUUUAAUUCGAUGAUACGCGAGGAACCUUACCUGGGCUUAAAUGUAGGCUGCAUUCGGCUGAAAGGCUGAUUCCCUUCGGGGCUGCUUACAAGGUGCUGCAUGGUUGUCGUCAGCUCGUGCCGUGAGGUGUCGGGUUAAGUCCCAUAACGAGCGCAACCCUUAUCGUUAGUUGCC
rnacentral:rRNA from 1 species